rnacentral:snoRNA from 1 species
UGGUCAUAUACCAAGGCUUUUGGGAGUUGUAGUUCCUAAUUUGCUGUGGACAUGACCAGAAAUUAAACCCCAGUGGGCUGCUUCAGUUUUUUUGCUGCUGUGGUCUGCUGGGAACAUUA